GCUUGUCUCAAAGAUUAAGCCAUGCAUGUUCAAGUAUAGCAAGUGUACAGUGAAACUGCGAAUGGCUCAUUAAAUCAGUUAUAAUUUAUUUGAUAGUGAAAUUGUACAUGGAUAACCGUGGCAAUUCUAGGGCUAAUACAUGCGUCAAUGGUCGGUCGACCAGUAUUUAUUAGAUAUCAAACCAAUAUUCCUUCUGGUCUAUUGUGAUGAUUCAUAAUAACUGAUCGAAGCUUAGCUAGUCUAAGCUAAAUCAUUCAAGUUUCUGCCCUAUCAGCUUUCGAUGGUAGUGUAUUGGACUACCAUGGCAGUCACGGGUAACGGGGAAUUAGGGUUCGAUUCCGGAGAGGGAGCCUAAGAAACGGCUACCACAUCUAAGGAAGGCAGCAGG
rnacentral:rRNA from 1 species